GAUAGUACUUCGUGAAUAAGUGACAGCAAACUAUGUGCCAGCAGCUGCGGUAAUACAUAGGUCGCAAGCAUUAUUCGGAUUUAUUGGGCGUAAAGCAAGCGCAGGCGGAUGUGUAAGUUCUGUGUUAAAUGCAGCUACUCAAUAGUUGUAUGCACCGAAUACUACAUGUCUAGAUUGUGGUAGGGAGUUUCGGAAUUAAGCAUGGAGCGGUGGAAUGUGUAGAUAUGCUUAAGAACACCAGAGGCGAAGGCGGAAACUUAGGCCAUAAAUGACGCUUAGGCUUGAAAGUGUGGGGAGCAAAUGGGAUUAGAUACCCCAGUAGUCCACACCGUAAACGAUGGGUAUUAGAUAUUAGGGCUUUAGCUUUAGUGUUGUAGCUUACGCGUUAAAUACCCCGCCUGGGUAGUACAUAUGCAAAUAUGAAACUCAAAGGAAUUGACGGGGACCUG
rnacentral:rRNA from 1 species